GAGCAAUUGUAGGACGACACGAGCGUUUACGCCAAGUGUUUCAAUACAAAUUAAGAUUGGCGACUAAAAUUUAAUGACUAAAAUUUAUUUCUAUCUUUCACGAAUGAAAUGAUAGUAUUUGAAAAAUAAAUUACAUAUGCAUCCACUGGAAAACACUUUAAAUGUGUUUGUAAAAUAUAAUUUACCCACGAACUACAUAAUCGUAUUGCACUUAGAAGUAUCCCACAAUGCUCUGUGCAUAUAUUGUUAUGUUGAUAUAUUGUUAUUAUCAUAUUCUAAUCCUUUCAAAGAUAUUAGUCCAGUUAUACAUAGAGCCCAAAGUUUCAAGUGGCCUAACAAUGACUGACCUAAAAGAAAGCUGGAUAUCGCAACCCAUUGUGAGGGCGGAAAUUGAUGUCCAAAUCUACGAAGAUCGUAAACUAUUCUGAUACCAUUUCCCUUCAGCUUUUUCUAACGGUCGUACUGCUAAUCAAGUUAUAAUAAACCACAAUAUUAUUCUUUAAAUCGAAGUCAAAACACGAAAGUUUGGCACGCUCCUUGCAGCCUUACGAACGGGCAGACAAAAACAACAGGAAGGAUGUUAAUUUCCGCUUCGCGUUUUGAACGUGAGUUCUCAGAUUGCUCCAGAUAUACAUGGAACACGCGGUGGCUGAUCUACAGUAUGGAAUAAAACAAAGGUACCCAAGCAUUUAAAUUGGAUAUGCGAGUAAACUGGAUGGCAUCGGGCAAAUGGGACUCUAUUGUUUGUACACUUGUUCCCACGCCCCUGCACUUUCUCUCUCAUCCCAACUGACAUACUCAAGCUCGUUCAGUGUUCACGACGUCAAGAGAUUAAACAAAAGAUACGGCACAAAGCGUUUGAAGUACACGUUUCCUGAGCCAUUUGACAUUUGGGAUAAAGUGAGUCGUGUCGCCAAUACGUCCCGUUACUUCAAGUGUUACUGUUCUCAAAAUAUAACUGGACUGACUAUAUAUUGUGUAUAAAAACUCGAGCCAAAAGUCAGCCAUUACUAUGGGAGCAACUGAUAAACAUUGUAAUGUAGUAUGAAAGAUUUUAGUUCUCCAGCAUUUGAGAUGCUAUAUGUAUGUCAGAAUAAUGUUGUCAACUGGUAUUUUUAAUGUUUGAACGAGGUUUCCAAAAGAAAGACAUUAUACCCGUUAUAGCUUUCAAACAGUGAAUUUAAACACAAUCUUCAAUAUCCAUGAUUCAGAAGCAAAAAAUCAAUUAAAUUAAAUAAAACAAAAAAUUACUAAUGCAUUACAAAUUCAUCAAGCAGACAUGAUAAGAUCUAAUAGGAAACUCGUGUUUUACUCAUCGUUUAAAACAGAUCAAAGAAAAUCAAUUCAGUUAGAUUUAAUAAAAAAUACACGGCACAGACAAUCCUUAUAGCGAAAUUGAGAUCUGGUAAUCAUAAUCUAAGAAUUGAAACUGGCAGACAUUGUCUUCCCCAAAAUCCCCAAAAAUUUAAGAAUAUGUCAAAAUUGUGAAUCUAAAGAUAUAGAAAAUGAAACUC